CGGUUAAACUAGAGGACUGAGUUAUAUUAUUAAGGUAAAAAGGUGGUUAGACGCGUAAUGCUGUAGUUAGUUGUAUGAACCGUUGUAGAGGGGUAGAAUCCCUAUAUGGCUAUGGGUAAUCCAGAGACGACUAAUCAGUGUUGAAUCCACGAUAGCUUUGAGGGAAACUGGGAUUUGGUACCCCAUUAUUCUUAGCUGUAAAUAAGUGUUGAACUUACCGGAGUACUACGAACAAUUAGUUUAAAACUCAAAGGGCUUGGCGGUGUUUUAGACCACUUAGGGGAACCUGUCUCGUAAUCGAUGAUCCACGCUAUACCUGACCCUCUAUUGCGAUCAGCUUGUACACCGUUGUCAUCAGGUAACUUUUUAGAAUAACAAAGUUAGCGGCAGAACUUAAUAUAUUAGUUUUUAUGUCAAAUCAAGGUGCAGCUAAUGAGAGGGGGAGGAUGGGUUACAAUUAGGAUUUAUAAUACGGAUCAGGCAAUGAAAUUUGCUUGUGAAGGAGGACUUAAGAGUAAGGCUGUCUAUAAAAAUAGCCUGAACGAGGCUCUGGAAUGUGUACUAAUUCCCG
rnacentral:rRNA from 1 species